AUUACGAGGAAAAGAAACCAACAGGGAUUGCCUCAGUAGCGGCGAGUGAAGCGGCAAAAGCUCAAAUUUGAAAUCUGGCGUCUUUGGCGUCCGAGUUGUAAUUUGAAGAAGGUAUCUUUGGGCCCGGCUCUUGUCUAUGUUCCUUGGAACAGGACGUCACAGAGGGUGAGAAUCCCGUGCGAUGAGAUGACCCGGGUCUGUGUAAAGUUCCUUCGACGAGUCGAGUUGUUUGGGAAUGCAGCUCUAAGUGGGUGGUAAAUUCCAUCUAAAGCUAAAUAUUGGCGAGAGACCGAUAGCGAACAAGUACAGUGAUGGAAAGAUGAAAAGAACUUUGAAAAGAGAGUGAAAAAGUACGUGAAAUUGUUGAAAGGGAAGGGCUUGAGAUCAGACUUGGUAUUUUGCAUGCUGCUCUCUCGGGGGCGGCCGCUGCGGUUUACCGGGCCAGCAUCGGUUUGGAGCGGCAGGAUAAUGGCGGAGGAAUGUGGCACGGCUUCUGCUGUGUGUUAUAG
rnacentral:rRNA from 1 species